rnacentral:lncRNA from 1 species
GCAAGACCACUGUUGCAAUUCUUAAAAUCAGUUGUUCCCACAGUCCCCACGAUGACAAUUAUCCAUCACAAUGCACAAGGUCUCCCAACUCACAUGGAGGACAUGAGAUGCCACCAUGAACUCAGCCUUGCUGAUGUUUUAUGCAUAACAGAAACUCACUUGUCUGGAUCAUCAGUUUCUCCCCGCUUCCAGCUCGAACAGUACAACAUGGCCACACGCAACAGACACGUCUCUUACACAAACCAUACAGACAUGGCAAAGGUAAAUGGCGGUGGAGUUGCAAUGUACUACAAAACAGUUCUUACAGCAGAGUCUCGAAAAUACCUGCAAAAUGUGACUGACCUUGAAUUUGUUGUUAUCAAGGUUGAAUCGCCAGUCACAGCUUUGAUAGCAACUGUAUACAGGCCACCAAAUUACAGCCACGUGAGGUUUUUACCACAAAUGCAAUGUCUUUUGGACUCAUUGGAAAUGAUGAAUUGCCAACCAAUUAUUGUUUGUGGAGACUUCAAUGAGGACCUUAUGAGCAGAGGAAAAAAACCCAUCCAAGAACUGUUUCAGUCAAGAGGAUAUGCACAACUUAUUACUGCUGCAACUACCGAAAAACACACAUUGAUUGAUCACCUUUACAUAUCACAGCCAACGCCUGCCUCCAAUCAGGUGUUCUGAAUACAUAUCACAGUUAUCACAACCCCAUUUAUUGUGUAAUUCACUAACACAAAAUGACUGCAAGGUUGUGAGGGAUAUGGACUUGCCAAGUGAUCUUAGUGUCUUUGCAACUGAGCACACUCUACCACCAACAAGGACAGCUCACCAGUGGGAGCUGAUAAUAAGACUGCUCUCAUCCAUUGAAGAGCUGACCAGAAACGUGAACAGAGAGACUGCAACUGCACCUGAUGGGAUCCCUGCCAUAACAGAUGUGUUCUGUCCAGUGAAGGCAGUGAGAAGCCCUACACUGAUCUUGAAACUGUGCCACGCUAGUAGAGACCGGCUACAAGGAUGGGCAGCUGUUUUCGCAAAGUCAGCCAACCACUUGCUUCCAAAUGACCCUUAUCCAGAAGUAUCCGUGAGUGCCUCAUCAACAGAAACUAAAGUGGAGACCUACCUCUCAGAGAAAAACGCACACAUAAGAAAAGCCGACCCACUUCAGUACUGGAAGAACAUCCUAAUCUGUUUCCCUCUAUGGCUGCUGUUGCGAUCCCAGUGUGCCCCCUGUAGCUCUGUGGACAGUUUUGGAUUUGUUUACAUCUCCCCAACCGGUCGCGGCAGAUGGCCGCCCUCCCUGAGCCUGGUUCUGCCGGAGGUUUCUUCCUGUCAAAGGGAGUUUUUCCUUCCCACUGUCGCCAAAGUGCUUGCUCAUAGGGGGUCAUAUGAUUGUUGGGUUUAUUAUAUACAUUAAUGCUUGUAUGCUUUUCAUUUAUACUUUGCCUUACUCUUCAGUUCAUAAUAUAAAGUUACUUGAAUGGUUUCCUUUUCGUUUUCCUUUUUUAUUUUAUAUUGCUUUGCUAUUUACCACAAUCUAAAUAUCAUGUUUAAAUGUCAUACAUUAUUGUAAAUGGUAUCUGUACAAAAUAUUGUUUGAAUAACAUGAUACAUUUAUUAGUCCCACAACGGGAAAUUUCAUAAUUUGCAUGUGGUAUUUUCCCUUUGACAUUAAAUACCUUUGAAAUAC